AUUCGCCCUUAUAGUUGGAUCCUGGCUCAGGAUGAACGCUAGCGGCAGGCCUAACACAUGCAAGUCGAGGGGCAGCAUAGAAAGUAACUUGUUACUUUUGGUGGCGACCGGCGGACGGGUGCGUAACGCGUAUACAACCUACCCUUAACAGGGGGAUAACGGGGGGAAACCUCCACUAAUACCCCAUAAUAUUAUGACCGGCAUCGGUUAUAGUUGAAAACUCAGGUGGUUAAGGAUGGGUAUGCGUUGUAUUAGAUAGUUGGUGAGGUAACGGCUCACCAAGUCGACGAUACAUAGGGGGACUGAGAGGUUAACCCCCCACACUGGUACUGAGACACGGACCAGACUCCUACGGGAGGCAGCAGUGAGGAAUAUUGGUCAAUGGGGGCAACCCUGAACCAGCCAUGCCGCGUGCAGGAAGACGGCUCUAUGAGUUGUAAACUGCUUUUAUACAGGGAUAAAUACAUGUACGUGUACGUGUUUGAAGGUACUGUAAGAAUAAGGAUCGGCUAACUCCGUGCCAGCAGCCGCGGUAAUACGGAGGAUCCAAGCGUUAUCCGGAUUUAUUGGGUUUAAAGGGUGCGUAGGCGGCACGGUAAGUCAGCGGUGAAAUCACAAGGCUCAACCUUGUAACUGCCGUUGAUACUGCUGAGCUAGAGAGUAGAUGCGGUAGGCGGAAUGUGUGGUGUAGCGGUGAAAUGCUUAGAGAUCACACAGAACACCGAUUGCGAAGGCAGCUUACCAAUCUAUGUCUGACGUUGAGGCACGAAAGCGUGGGUAGCAAACAGGAUUAGAUACCCUGGUAGUCCACGCAGUAAACGAUGAUAGCUCGUUGUCGGCGAUACACAGUCGGUGACUUAGCGAAAGCGUUAAGCUAUCCACCUGGGGAGUACG
rnacentral:rRNA from 1 species